rnacentral:rRNA from 1 species
GUGGGGAAUAUUGGACAAUGGGCGAAAGCCUGAUCCAGCCAUGCCGCGUGUGUGAAGAAGGUCUUCGGAUUGUAAAGCACUUUAAGUUGGGAGGAAGGGCAGUAAGUUAAUACCUUGCUGUUUUGACGUUACCGACAGAAUAAGCACCGGCUAACUUCGUGCCAGCAGCCGCGGUAAUACGAAGGGUGCAAGCGUUAAUCGGAAUUACUGGGCGUAAAGCGCGCGUAGGUGGUUUUGUAAGUUGGAGGUGAAAUCCCCGGGCUCAACCUGGGAACUGCCUCCAAAACUGCAUGACUAGAGUACGGUAGAGGGUAGUGGAAUUUCCUGUGUAGCGGUGAAAUGCGUAGAUAUAGGAAGGAACACCAGUGGCGAAGGCGACUACCUGGACAGAUACUGGCACUGAGGUGCGAAAGCGUGUGGAGCAAACAGGAUUAGAAACCCCUGUAGUCC